GUCGCGACGUAACCUGAUCGCCCAUCUGCGGCCGGCUAAUCGUUAGCUGUCUUUUCGGCUGCGAUCUGAAUAGGUCUAUCGGACACUUUUCUUGGGCCACUAUAACUAACUAUUUUGCCAACUUGGACAGGUCCCCCCUUCCACACGGAACCCCACUAACCCACAGACGGAAACGCACGAGGUGGCUAAAAACAGACCUCCCUCCCAUCUUCCACCAGCUUGCUACCUAUGGCCCGGCUAGCUGUCUGAAUCUCACUGGACCCUCUGAUCACUCGGCUAAGCAUGCCUCUCCUUAAUGUCAAUAUGCCUUGUCCAUUGCUGUUCUGGUUAGUGUUUAUUGGCUUAUUUCACUGUAGAGCCUCUAGCCCUGCUCAUUAUACCUUAUCCAACCUCUCAGUUCCUCCACCCACACAUGCUAUGACAUCUUCUGGUUUCAAUGAUGUUUCUAGAGACAAUAUCUCUCUCAUAAUCACUAAAUGCCUAGGUUUACCUCCUCUGUACUCACAUCCCACCAUACCUUUGUCUGUACAUUAUACCUUGAAGCUAUUUUAUUGCCCCCAGAAACCUGCUCCUUUUUCUCUCUAUUCUGGACGUCACAGACGACCAAUUCUUAUAGCUUUUAGCCGUACCCUCAUACUUAUUCUUCUCUGCUCCUCUGGGGAUGUAGAGGUGAAUCCAGGCCCUGCAGUGCCUGGCUCCACUCCUACUCCCCAGGCGCUCUCUUUUGAUGACUUCUGUAACCGUAAUAGCCUUGGUUUCAUGCAUGUUAACAUUAGAAGCCUCCUCCCUAAGUUUGCUUUAUUCACUGCUUUAGCACACUCUGCCAACCCGGAUGUCCUAGCUGUGUCUGAAUCUUGGCUUAGGAAGUCCACCAAAAACUGUGAAAUCUUCAUCCCUAACUACAACGUUUUCAGACAAGAUAGAACGACCAAAGGGGGCGGUGUUGCAAUCUACUGCAGAGAUAGCCUGCAGAGUUCUGUCCUGCUAUCCAGGUCUGUACCCAAACAAUUUGAACUUCUACUUUUAAAAAUCCACCUCUCCAAAAACAAGUCUCUCACCGUUGCCGCCUGCUAUAGACCCCCCUCGGCCCCUAGCUGUGCUCUGGAC
rnacentral:lncRNA from 1 species